GAUCGUCGACAACGAAACGAUCAGCGUCGACGGAAAGCUGAUCAAGGUGGUCGCCAACAGGGACCCGCUGCAGCUGCCAUGGGCUGAAAUGGGUAUUGACAUUGUCAUCGAGGGGACUGGAGUUUUCGUGGAUGGGCCAGGAGCCGGGAAGCACUUACAAGCUGGUGCAAAGAAGGUUAUCAUCACAGCACCAGCUAAAGGAGCUGAUAUCCCGACGUAUGUCGUGGGGGUGAAUGAAAAGGACUACCACCAUGAAGUCGCUAAUAUCAUAAGUAAUGCAUCUUGCACA
rnacentral:misc_RNA from 1 species